rfam:Daphnia pulex DAPPTscaffold_3669_Cont15037, whole genome shotgun sequence.
GAUAGUGUGGUCGAGUGGUCUAUGGAGCUGGUUUUAGGCACCAGUCUCUUCGGAGGCAAGGGUUCGAAUCCCUUCACUGUCA